UACAGAGGUCCCGAGCGUUGUUCGGAUUCAUUGGGCGUAAAGGGUGCGUAGGCGGCGGGGCAAGUCUGAUGUGAAAUCCCGGGGCUCAACCCCCGGAACUGCAUUGGAUACUGCCUUGCUUGAGUACUGGAGAGGGAACUGGAAUUUACGGUGUAGCAGUGAAAUGCGUAGAGAUCGUAAGGAAGGCCAGUGGCGAAGGCGAGUUCCUGGACAGUUACUGACGCUGAGGCACGAAGGCCAGGGGAGCAAACGGG
rnacentral:rRNA from 1 species